rnacentral:rRNA from 1 species
GGGGAAUAUUGGGCAAUGGACGCAAGUCUGACCCAGCGACGCCGCGUGAGGGAUGAAGGCCUUCGGGUUGUAAACCUCUUUCAGUAGGGAAGAAGCGAAAGUGACGGUACCUACAAAAGAAGCACCGGCUAACUAUGUGCCAGCAGCCGCGGUAAUACAUAGGGUGCAAGCGUUGUCCGGAUUUAUUGGGCGUAAAGAACUCGUAGGUGGUUUGUUACGUCGGAUGUGAAACUCUGGGGCUCAACCCCAGACCUGCAUCCGAUACGGGCAGACUAGAGUGUGGUAGGGGAGACUGGAAUUCCUGGUGUAGCGGUGGAAUGCGCAGAUAUCAGGAGGAACACCAAUGGCGAAGGCAGGUCUCUGGGCCAUUACUGACACUGAGGAGUGAAAGUGUGGGGAGCGAACAGGA